rnacentral:tRNA from 1 species
UCAAGGGGUAGUUUAAAUUAAAAUAUUAGUUUUGGGAAUUAGUGAUAGGAGUAUUUUUCCUUCCCUUGAU